CAGCUGAGAAGUUUGGAGCCGGCUUUACUCAGCUCCUCGGCAGCUGGGUUAUCAGUGGGCGCAGCUCUGCUCACCCUGUGAAAGAUGGCGGGCAAACCGGCAGACCCUUCCCAGGACAUCUGCUCAUGACCCAGUAAGAGAGAGGAGUGGAGCACACUACAGGAAACCAGCGCUCAGCCGCCUCUGGUCACUGACAGCCUGGCCUCGUUAACCCUCUAGUCUCCAAAACCAGAGGAGAGUCGCGUCUACCCUGAACUCCAAGGUGGAGAAUGCCUCAAGAUACUUUACUGGCUUUAUGCUGUCCCAUGAAAUGCUUUGAGACAGAGAGGAAAAAAAAAUAGUACUGUAAUUUCAUGAUCACCAUAGUAAAAUAAAAGCUUGUUGGAACUGAAGUCCUGAUGAAUACCAGGGAAGAGAAAAUUGGACUGAAAAGAAGAUAAUUGCUUUGAGAGAAAAAAAAUCUAUUUUAAGCAAAGGAUAUGAGCUGUUCAGCAUUCUCUCUAAAAUAAACAAUACAUGAUGUUUUAUGAUGAA